GGGGCUGGGGCUCAGUGGUAGAGCGCUUGCCUUGCACAUAUGAAGCACUGGGUUCAAUCCUCAGCACCA
rnacentral:tRNA from 1 species